rnacentral:rRNA from 1 species
GAUGAACGCUGGCGGCGUGCCUAAUACAUGCAAGUCGAGCGAACAGAUGAGGAGCUUGCUCCUCUGACGUUAGCGGCGGACGGGUGAGUAACACGUGGAUAACCUACCUAUAAGACUGGGAUAACUUCGGGAAACCGGAGCUAAUACCGGAUAAUAUAUUGAACCGCAUGGUUCAAUAGUGAAAGACGGUUUUGCUGUCACUUAUAGAUGGAUCCGCGCCGCAUUAGCUAGUUGGUAAGGUAACGGCUUACCAAGGCGACGAUGCGUAGCCGACCUGAGAGGGUGAUCGGCCACACUGGAACUGAGACACGGCCCAGACUCCUACGGGAGGCAGCAGUAGGGAAUCUUCCGCAAGGGGCGAAAGCUUGACGGAGCAACGCCGCGUGAGUGAUGAAGGUCUUCGGAUCGUAAAACUCUGUUAUUAGGGAAGAACAAAUGUGUAAGUAACUAUGCACGUCUGGACGGUACCUAAUCAGAAAGCCACGGCUAACUACGU